rnacentral:rRNA from 1 species
UACGAAGGGUGCUAGCGUUGUUCGGAAUUACUGGGCGUAAAGGGUGCGUAGGCGGCCUUAUAAGUGAGAUGUGAAAUACCUGGGCUCAACCUGGGAACUGCAUUUCAUACUGUAAGGCUAGAGUGGGCGAGAGGAAGAUGGAAUUGUGCGUGUAGAGGUGAAAUUCGUAGAUAUGCACAAGAACACCAGUGGCGAAGGCGAUCUUCUGGUACCUAACUGACGCUAAUGCACGAAAGCGUGGGGAGCAAACAGG